rnacentral:lncRNA from 1 species
AUGCUCUGCAGUGUCCCUCGGAAAGAGAUGUGGACUCUCUCUGAUCUCCUGCCUGGGUGCCUGCUGUUGGUUGUAUGGCAAUGCUGGCUCCUGAGCAGUGUGCUGUUCAAGAAGGCACUAUCAGAUCACCACCCCCUGGUGUUUUUCUGUCCUCUUCGAAUUCUGGUCAGGAGCAUGGUGUAUCAAAUUUCAGGGAGAAGGAACAGUGAGUAGACAGCUAGCAAGAUGUCUGGGAUAAGAAGCUGUGACUCCUGUUAUGGUAGCUUAAAACAGACCGAAGUGAGCUACAACAGCAGAACUCCCCAGUGAUUAUGUUCCAG